rnacentral:ncRNA from 2 species
CACUGUUUUCCCCUGAUUGACGGUAGUGAAUGGUCAUGUUUCUGUAUUGGUGUAUUCGAUAUCCAAUACAGCCGCAUGAUUAUUCACAACUUUGAUCAGCAUAUUAAAGUG